rnacentral:rRNA from 1 species
AUUGAACGCUGGCGGCAUGCCUUACACAUGCAAGUCGAACGGCAGCAUGAUCUAGCUUGCUCGAUUGAUGGCGAGUGGCGAGCGGGUGAGUCAUACAUCGGAACGUGCCCUGUGGUGGGGGAUAACUAGUCGAAAGAUUAGCUAAUACCGCAUACGACCUGAGGGUGAAAGUGGGGGACCGAAAGGCCUCAUGCCUUAGGCGCGGCCGAUGUUUGAUUAGCUAGUUGGUGAGGUAAAGGCUUACCAAGGCGACGAUCAGUAGCUGGUCUGAGAGGACGAUCAGCCACACUGGAACUGAGACACGGCCCAGACUCCUACGGGAGGCAGCAGUGGGGAAUUUUGGACAAUGGGCGAAAGCCUGAUCCAGCAAUGCCGCGUGUGUGAAGAAGGCCUUCGGGUUGUAAAGCACUUUUGUCCGGAAAGAAAUGGCUCUGGUUAAUACCUGGGGUCGAUGACGGUACCGGAAGAAUAAGGACCGGCUAACUACGUG